rnacentral:rRNA from 1 species
UACGGAGGGGGCUAGCGUUGUUCGGAAUUACUGGGCGUAAAGCGCGCGUAGGCGGCUUUGCAAGUUGGAGGUGAAAUCCCGGAGCUUAACUUCGGAAUUGCCUUCAAAACUGCUUGGCUCGAGUUCGGGAGAGGUGAGUGGAAUUCCCAGUGUAGAGGUGAAAUUCGUAGAGAUUGGGAAGAACACCAGUGGCGAAGGCGGCUCACUGGCCCGUAACUGACGCUGAGGCGCGAAAGCGUGGGGAGCAAACAGG